UGCAGAAUCCCGUGAACCAUCGAGUCUUUGAACGCAAGUUGCGCCCGAUGCCAUUAGGUUGAGGGCACGUCUGCCUGGGUGUCACAUAUCGAAGCCUCCUGCCAAUUUCCUUUUGACAGGUAUUGUGCAGGGUGGAUGUUGGCCUCCCGUGAGCUAUUUCGUCUCAUGGUUGGUUGAAAAUUGAGACCUUGGUAGGGUGUGCCAUGAUAAAUGGUGGUUGUGUGACCCACGAGACCAAUCAUGCGCUGCUCUAUUGAAUUUGGCCUCUUUUACCCAUAUGAGUUUUUAAACGCUCGUGAUGAGACCCCAGGUCAGGCGGGGCUACCCGCUGAAUUUAAGCAUAUCAAUAAGCGGAGGAAAAGAAACUAACAAGGAUUCCCUUAGUAACGGCGAGCGAACCGGGAUAAGCCCACCAUGAGAAUCGGUCGCCCUCGGCGUUCGA
rnacentral:rRNA from 1 species